ACCAGACUCCUACGGGAGGCAGCAGUGAGGAAUAUUGGUCAAUGGGCGCGAGCCUGAACCAGCCAAGUCGCGUGAAGGAUGACUGCCCUACGGGUUGUAAACUUCUUUUAUAAAGGAAUAAAGUGAGGCACGUGUGCCUUUUUGUAUGUACUUUAUGAAUAAGGAUCGGCUAACUCCGUGCCAGCAGCCGCGGUAAUACGGAGGAUCCGAGCGUUAUCCGGAUUUAUUGGGUGUAAAGGGCGUGCAGCCGGGAAGACAGGUCAGAUGUGAAAUCCCGCGGCUCAACCGCGGAACUGCAUUUGAAACUGUUUUUCUUGAGUACCGGAGAGGUCAUCGGAAUUCCUUGUGUAGCGGUGAAAUGCGUAGAUAUAAGGAAGAACACCAGUGGCGAAGGCGGAUGACUGGACGGCAACUGACGGUGAGGCGCGAAAGCGUGGGGAGCAAACAGGAUGAGAUACCCCGGUA
rnacentral:rRNA from 1 species